rnacentral:rRNA from 1 species
UACGUAGGGACCAAGCGUUGUCCGGAAUCAUUGGGCGUAAAGAGCGUGUAGGCGGCUUGUUAAGUCUUGCGUGAAAUCUCGGGGCUCAACCCCGAGCGGUCGUGAGAAACUGGCAGGCUAGAGUGCGGGAGAGGAGAGUGGAAUUCCCGGUGUAGCGGUGAAAUGCGCAGAUAUCGGGAGGAACACCGGUGGCGAAGGCGGUUCUCUGGGCCUGUACUGACGCUGAGGAGCGAAAGCGUGGGGAGCGAACAGG